rnacentral:rRNA from 1 species
UUGGCUUUGGCAGCGGUCCAAGUUCCUUGGAACAGGACGUCACAGAGGGUGAGAAUCCCGUACGUGGUCGCUAGCUAUUGCCGUGUAAAGCCCCUUCGACGAGUCGAGUUGUUUGGGAAUGCAGCUCUAAAUGGGAGGUAAAUUUCUUCUAAAGCUAAAUAUUGGCCAGAGACCGAUAGCGCACAAGUAGAGUGAUCGAAAGAUGAAAAGCACUUUGGAAAGAGAGUCAAACAGCACGUGAAAUUGUUGAAAGGGAAGCGCUUGCAGCCAGACUUGCUUGCAGUUGCUCAUCCGGGCUUUUGCCCGGUGCACUCUUCUGCAGGCAGGCCAGCAUCAGUUUGGGCGGUGGGAUAAAGGUCUCUGACACGUUCCUUCCUUC